rnacentral:rRNA from 1 species
GACGAACGCUGGCGGCGUGCCUAACACAUGCAAGUCGAACGAAGUGGCGAACGGGUGAGUAACGCGUAAUCAACCUGCCCUUCAGAGGGGGACAACAGUUGGAAACGACUGCUAAUCCCCCAUACUGAUUGAGGGGAUGGCGUGUGAUUAGCUCGUGGGAGGGGUAACGGCCCACCAAGGCGAUGAUCAGUAGCUGGUCUGAGAGGAUGAACGGCCACACUGGAACUGAGACACGGCCCAGACUCCUACGGGAGGCAGCAGUGGGGAAUAUUGCGCAAUGGACGAAAGUCUGACAGAGCAACGCCGCGUGAGUGAAGAAGGUUUUCGGAUCGUAAAGCACUGUUGUUAGGGAGGCGGUAUCUAACGAGAAAGCAACGGCUAACUACGUGCCAGCAGCCGCGGUAAUAC